AGAAAGUAUGGCUGCCAUUAUCGCACAAAUCUCUCUCCAGAAUUCUAAGAGAAAUAAUAUAAGACGACUUCCACCUGAGAAGUGUGCGUAUAAUUUAAACCCAUUUCCUCCAACAUUUCUCCCAGCUGUACAUAACAAGUACAUAUCCAGGAGAACAGAACACCUGCGUAGAAAAGAAGAGAAAAAUAAACAUCAAAGACUGAUUUUAC